rnacentral:rRNA from 1 species
UGCAGUCGAGCGGUAGCACAGAGAGCUUGCUCUCGGGUGACGAGCGGCGGACGGGUGAGUAAUGUCUGGGAAACUGCCUGAUGGAGGGGGAUAACUACUGGAAACGGUAGCUAAUACCGCAUAACGUCGCAAGACCAAAGUGGGGGACCUUCGGGCCUCAUGCCAUCAGAUGUGCCCAGAUGGGAUUAGCUAGUAGGUGGGGUAACGGCUCACCUAGGCGACGAUCCCUAGCUGGUCUGAGAGGAUGACCAGCCACACUGGAACUGAGACACGGUCCAGACUCCUACGGGAGGCAGCAGUGGGGAAUAUUGCACAAUGGGCGCAAGCCUGAUGCAGCCAUGCCGCGUGUGUGAAGAAGGCCUUCGGGUUGUAAAGCACUUUCAGCGGGGAGGAAGGCGAUGAGGUUAAUAACCUUGUCGAUUGACGUUACCCGCAGAAGAAGCACCGGCUAACUCCGUGCCAGCAGCCGCGGUAAUACGGAGGGUGCAAGCGUUAAUCGGAAUUACUGGGCGUAAAGCGCACGCAGGCGGUCUGUCAAGUCGGAUGUGAAAUCCCCGGGCUCAACCUGGGAACUGCAUUCGAAACUGGCAGGCUAGAGUCUUGUAGAGGGGGGUAGAAUUCCAGGUGUAGCGGUGAAAUGCGUAGAGAUCUGGAGGAAUACCGGUGGCGAAGGCGGCCCCCUGGACAAAGACUGACGCUCAGGUGCGAAAGCGUGGGGAGCAAACAGGAUUAGAUACCCUGGUAGUCCACGCUGUAAACGAUGUCGAUUUGGAGGUUGUGCCCUUGAGGCGUGGCUUCCGGAGCUAACGCGUUAAAUCGACCGCCUGGGGAGUACGGCCGCAAGGUUAAAACUCAAAUGAAUUGACGGGGGCCCGCACAAGCGGUGGAGCAUGUGGUUUAAUUCGAUGCAACGCGAAGAACCUUACCUGGUCUUGACAUCCACAGAACUUUCCAGA